UACGUAGGUGGCAAGCGUUAUCCGGAAUUAUUGGGCGUAAAGCGCGCGCAGGUGGUUCUUUAAGUCUGAUGUGAAAGCCCCCGGCUCAACCGGGGAGGGUCAUUGGAAACUGGGGAACUUGAGUAUAGAAGAGGAAAGUGGAAUUCCACGUGUAGCGGUGAAAUGCGUAGAGAUGUGGAGGAACACCAGUGGCGAAGGCGACUUUCUGGGACAUUCCUGACGCUGAGGUUCGAAAGCUCGGGGAGCAAACAGG
rnacentral:rRNA from 1 species